rnacentral:rRNA from 1 species
AGCGGCGGACGGGUGAGUAACGCAUAGGAAUGUACCCCGAAGUGAGGGAUAAGCUCCAGAAAUGGAGUCUAAUACCGCAUGUUCUCUUCGGAGCAAAGCAGCAAUGCGCUUUGGGAACAGCCUAUGUCUGAUUAGCUAGUUGGUAGGGUAAAGGCCUACCAAGGCAACGAUCAGUAGCUGGUUUGAGAGGAUGACCAGCCACACUGGAACUGAGACACGGUCCAGACUCCUACGGGAGGCAGCAGUAGGGAAUUUUCCACAAUGGGCGAAAGCCUGAUGGAGCGACGCCGCGUGCAGGAUGAAGGCCUUCGGGUUGUAAACUGCUUUUAUGAGGGACGACUUCGACGGUACCUCAUGAAUAAGGGUCUGCUAACUACGUGCCAGCAGCCGCGGUCAUACGUAGGACCCAAGCGUUAUCCGGAAUUACUGGGCGUAAAGAGUUGCGUAGGUGGCUAGGUAAGUCCCAACCUAAAUCUGAUAGCUCAACUAUCAGAAGCGUUGGGAAACUAUCUGGCUUGAGCAUGGGAGAGGUAGAUGGAAUUUCCAGUGUAGGAGUGAAAUCCGUAGAUAUUGGGAGGAACACCGAUGGCGUAAGCAGUCUACUGGCCCAUUGCUGACACUGAGGCACGAAAGCGUGGGGAGCGAACGGGAUUAGAUACCCCGGUAGUCCACGCCGUAAACGAUGGAUGCUAGCUGUUAUUCGUAUCGACCCGAGUAGUAGCGAAGCUAACGCGUUAAGCAUCCCGCCUGGGGAGUACGGUAGCAAGAUUAAAACUCAAAGGAAUUGACGGGGACCCGCACAAGCGGUGGAGCGUGUUGUUUAAUUCGACGGUAAGCGUAGAACCUUACCAAGGUUUGACAUCCUGGGAAGGUCUCCGAAAGGAGACUGUGCCUUUUUGGAAUCCAGUGACAGGUGAUGCAUGGCCGUCGUCAGCUCGUGUCGUGAGAUGUUUGGUUAAGUCCAUCAACGAGCGCAACCCUUAUAGUUAGUUGAAUUUCUCUAGCUAGACUGCCCUGGUAACAGGGAGGAAGGAGGGGAUGAUGUCAGGUCAGUAUUUCCCUUACACCUUGGGCCACAAACACGCUACAAUGGCCGGUACAAAGGGCUGCCAAGCAGCAAUGCGGAGCAAAUCCCAUCAAAGCCGGUCCCAGCUCGGAUCGGGGGC